GGCCGUCGUGGUCCGGCCCGUUGCGCCGGCCUUCGCGGCGGGCCGCCGGGCUCGCCUGCGGUUCGACGCUCGUACCGAUCGGGCCGCCGUCCUCC
rnacentral:tRNA from 1 species